rnacentral:rRNA from 1 species
GACGAACGCUGGCGGCGUGCUUAACACAUGCAAGUCGAACGGAAAGGCCCUGCUUGUAGGGUGCUCGCGUGGCGAACGGGUGAGUAACACGCGGGUGAUCUGCCCCCUACUUUGGGAUAAGCCUGGGAAACAGGGUCGAAUACUGGAUAGGACCAUUCUUGAGGCGGGGUGGUGGAUAGAGAAGUUCCGGUCGGGGUUGAGCUCGCGGCCUAUCAGCUCGUUGGUGGGGUGCUGGCCGACCAAGGCGUCGACGGGUGGCCGGCCUGAGGGGGUGGGCGGCCACAUUGGGACUCCGAUGCGGCCCAGCCGCCUACGGGAGGCCGCAGUGGGGAAUAUUGCACCAUGGGGGCCCGCCGGAUGCAGCGACGCCGCGUGGGGGAUGACGGCCUUCGGGUUGUAAACUACAUUUGUCCAUGACGAAGCCCUUGUGGUGACGGUAGUGGUAGAAGAAGCACCGGCUAACUACGUG